UACGGAGGGUGCAAGCGUUGUCCGGAUUUAUUGGGCGUAAAGGGCUCGUAGGCGGUUUGUCGCGUCGGGAGUGAAAACCCAGGGCUUAACUCUGGGCUUGCUUUCGAUACGGGCAGACUAGAGGCAAGCAGGGGAGAACGGAAUUCCUGGUGUAGCGGUGAAAUGCGCAGAUAUCAGGAGGAACACCGGUGGCGAAGGCGGUUCUCUGGUCAUGUCCUGACGCUGAGGAGCGAAAGUGUGGGGAGCGAACAGG
rnacentral:misc_RNA from 1 species